GAUGAACGCUGGCGGCGUGCCUAAUACAUGCAAGUCGAGCGAACGGACGAGAAGCUUGCUUCUCUGAUGUUAGCGGCGGACGGGUGAGUAACACGUGGAUAACCUACCUAUAAGACUGGGAUAACUUCGGGAAACCGGAGCUAAUACCGGAUGAUAUUUUGAACCGCAUGGUUCAAAAGUGAAAGACGGUCUUGCUGUCACUUAUAGAUGGAUCCGCGCUGCAUUAGCUAGUUGGUAAGGUAACGGCUUACCAAGGCAACGAUGCAUAGCCGACCUGAGAGGGUGAUCGGCCACACUGUAACUGAGACACGGUCCAGACUCCUACGGGAGGCAGCAGUAGGGAAUCUUCCGCAAUGGGCGAAAGCCUGACGGAGCAACGCCGCGUGAGUGAUGAAGGUCUUCGGAUCGUAAAACUCUGUUAUUAGUGAAGAACAUAUGUGUAAGUAACUGUGCACAUCUUGACGGUACCUAAUCAGAAAGCCACGGCUAACUACGUG
rnacentral:rRNA from 1 species